rnacentral:rRNA from 1 species
UGAGGAAUAUUGGUCAAUGGGCGCAAGCCUGAACCAGCCAUCCCGCGUGAAGGAAGAAGGCCCUACGGGUUGUAAACUUCUUUUCUGUUUGAAGAAUAAGCUCGUCGAGACGAGUGAUGCCGGUAGGACAGGAAUAAGCAUCGGCUAACUCCGUGCCAGCAGCCGCGGUACUACGGAGGAUGCAAGCGUUAUCCGGAGUUAUUGGGUUUAAAGGGUGCGCAGGUGGUUUAAUAAGUCAGUGGUGAAAGUCUGGCGCUUAACGUUAGGAUUGCCAUUGAUACUGUUAGACUUGAAUAUGGAUGAGGUAGGCGGAAUGUGUAGUGGAGCGGUGAAUGCUUAGAUAUUACAAAGAACACCGAUUGCGAAGGCAGCUUACUAAUCCAUUAUUGACGCUGAGGCACGAAAGCGUGGGGAUCAAACAG